CGGUCCUCUCGUCACUUCUGCUGGCGAUGCGCUCCUGGCCUUAAUUGGCCGGGUCGUGCCUCCGGUGCUGUUACUUUGAAGAAAUUAGAGUGCUCAAAGAAAGCCUACACUCUAUACACAUUAGCAUGGGAUAACAUUAUAGGAAUUUGGUCCUAUUACGUUGGCCUUCGGGAUCAAAGUAAUUAUUAACAGGGACUGUCAGGGGCAUUCGUAUUUCAUAGUCAGAGGUGAAAUUCUUGGAUUUAUGAAAGACGACCAAUUGCGAAAGCAUUUGCCAAGGAGGUUUUCAUUAAUCAAGAAUGAAAGUUGGGGGCUCGAAGACGAUCAGAUACCGUCCUAGUCUAAACAAUAAACGAUGCCGACUAGGGAUCGGCGAAUGUUGCUUUUAGGACUCCGCCGGCAUCAUAUGAGAAGUCAAAAUUUUUGGGUUCCGGGGGGAGGAUGGUCGUAAGAUUGACAGACUGAGAGCUCUUUCGUGAUUCUAUGGGUGGUGGUGCAUGGCCGCUCUUACUUGGUGGAGCGAUUAGUCUGGUUAAUUCCGUUAACGAACAGGACCUCAGCCUGCUAACUAGCUAUGCGGAGGUAUCCCUUCGCGGCCAGCUUCUUAGAGGGACUACGGCCUUUUAGGCCGUGGAUGUUUGAGGCAAUAACAGGUCUGUGAUGCCCUUAGAUGUUAUGGGUCGCACGCGCGCUACACUGAUGUAUUCAACGAGUUUAUAGCCUUGGCCGAUAGGCACGGGUAAUCUUUGAAAUUUCAUCGUGAUGGGGAUAGAUCAUUGCAAUUGUUGGUCUUCAACGAGGAAUUCCUAGUAAGCGCGAGUCAUCAGCUCACGUUGACUACGUCCCUGCCCUUUGUACACACCGCCCGUCGCUCCUACCGAUUGAAUGAUCCAAUGAAAUGUUCGAAUCACGGCGACGUGGGCGGUCUGCUGCCCGCGACAUCGCUAGAAGUAUAUUGAACCUUAUCAUUUAGAGGAAGGUGAAUUCGUAACAAGGUUUCCAUAGGUGAACCUGCAGAAGGAUCAUUGUCAAAACAUGCAAGGCAGAACGACCUGCGAACUUGUUUAAAAAUUGGGGAGCGGUGCAGCCAGGAUGCUUCGGCCUCCGUCCGUGCGGCUUCCUCCUAUAUCUGUGACGCGCGCUCGCGUGCGUGCCUAGUGAUUAACAAACCCCGGCGCGGAAAGCGCCUAGGAAUACUAAAUUGAAAGCUUGCCCCUCGCGCCCCGUUCGCGGCGUGCGCAGGGGACUUGUGCUUCUUUUGAAACACAAACGACUCUCGGCAACGGAUAUCUCGGCUCUCUCAUAUGCUUGUCUCAAAGAUUAAGCCAUGCAUGUGUAAGUAUGAACAAGGAAACACAAACAACUCUCGGCAACAGAUAUCUUGGCUCUCGCAUCGACGAAGAAAGUAGCGAAAUGCAAUACUUGGUGUGAAUUGCAGAAUCCCGUGAACCAUCGAGUCUUUGAACACAAGUUGCGCCCGAAGCCAUUAGGGCGAAGGCACGUCUACCUGGGCGUCACACAUCGCGUCGCCCCUCCACACCGCGCCCAUUCUCAUGGUCGUGGUGUUGUCGCGGUACGGAUACUGGCCUCCUGUUCGCCUCGAGCGUGCGGUUGGCCUAAAUGCGAGUCCACAGCGACGGACGUCACGACAAGUGGUGGUUGAAACUUAACUCUCGGAAUGUCGCGGCUCCAACCUGUCGCAUGUUUGGGCUCCCUGACCCUUAUCGUGCUUAGGCUUCCUGACCGCGAUCCCAGGUCAGGUGGGACUACCCGCUGAGUUUAAGCAUAUCAAUAAGCGGAUGAAAAUAGACUUACAAGGAUUCUCCUAGUAACGGCGAGCAAACCAUGAACAACCCAGCCUUAGAAUCGGGCGAUUCCGUCGUCUGAAAUAUAGUCUGGAGAAGCGUUUUCAGCGGCGGACUGGGCCCAAGUCCCUUGGAAGGGGGCGCCAGAGAGGGAGAGAGCGCCGUUGUGCCCGGACCCUGUCACACCACGAGGCGCUUUCUACGAUUCGGGUUGUUUGGGAAUGCAGCCCAAAUCGAGCGGUGAAUUCCAUCCAAGGCUAAAUACGGGAGAGAGACUGAUAGCGAACAAGUACCGCGAGGGAAAGAUGAAAAGGACUUUGAAAAGAAAGUCAAAAAAUGCUUGAAAUUGUCAGGUGGGAAGCGGAUGGGGGCCGGCGAUGCACCCCGAUCAGAUGUGGAACGGUGUUGAGCCGGUCUGCCGAUCGACUCGGGGCGUGGACCAGCGUGGAUUGGGGGGGCGGCCAAUUCCCGGGCUUUUGAUACGCUUGUGGAACUUCGUUUCCUUGAUUGUGGUUAGGCAGCGCGCGCUCCAGACGCUAGCCUGUGGCCUCCCUAUUCGACCCGUCUUGAAACAUGGACCAAGGAGUCUAACAUGUGUGCGAGUCAACGGGCGAGUAAACCCGUAAGGCAUAAGGAAGCUGAUUGGUGGGAUCUCCCUUAGGGGUGCACCACAGACCGACCUUGAUCUUCUGUGA
rnacentral:lncRNA from 1 species